rnacentral:lncRNA from 1 species
AGAAAAGUUGGAAGGUAAGAGACCACAAGCCUCAGAAGCGCUGAGCGAGAAUAAAAAUUAGGCAGUCUAUGGGGUGCCUUAGUGGCUCAGUCGGUUGAGCGUCUGGCUCUUGGUUUUUGCUGUGGUGGGUUGCAGCCCGGCUUUGGGCUCUGAGCUGACAGUGCGGAACCUGCUUGGGAUUCUUUCUCUCUCCCUCUGUCUCUGCCCCUGCCCUUCUUGCUCGCUCUCUCUUUCUCUCUCUUUCUCUCUCUCUCUCUCUCUCAAAAUAAAUAAAUAAAUAAAUUUUUAAAAAGAAAGGAAAAAGAAAUUGGGCAGCCUAUAGGUGAGCUCUGGGCAGCCCCUAGAGUUGUCCUCAGACUGGCCGCUCUCCUGCCUCUCGCUUUUCCUUACACUCUCGCGCCAAAUUUCUGUCCUGCUAAACAAAAUUGGCACUUUUUCCUUGCGGUUUUCUGGAACUCGAGCUUUCAAGGCACUAAACCCAAGUUCCAGAAACUGCUUGCAACCCUUCGUCCUGAUUUCCCACAACGCAGGCCCCCAUCCCCCUGCUUAGGCUGGGAUCCUGGACACCAUUUGUGCACUGUGAUAAAAAGGCCUCGAUUCGACUUAGCUCCUAGCUUUCAACUCCUGCUUCUCAGAAUCUACUGCUCCAUUCCAGCAUGCGAUCCAGCAGAAAUAAACGGAGCCUGCCAGGACCUUAGACUCCAAAUAUGUCAGCGUCACCAAUUUGUAAAACAACCUAAUAAAAUCCUUCCCUGGCUGUGAGAACAAAAUAGCAUUUUGAGACAAGUACAGGAUAUGUUAAAACAGAGUAUUUUUGUUAAGUCAGACAUCGAAUAGAAUUUGUGAAAGAGUCCUUAAAAAGGCUGUUGAAACGUUGCUUUGAAGUUAUAAUCAGUGAUCCCGUUGUUAAAAUGGUGUGUAGGGAUAUGGAUGGUGGUGGCGAGUUUGUGUGUGUGGAAAGAGGGUAUGUGGAAACUACUCAAUUUUGCUGUGAAACUAAAAUUCUAAAAAGUAAAGUUUUUAUUAAUUUAGAAAAAUAAUAGUAAGAACAGAAAAUAUAAAAACCACCAUUAUGGGGCUCCUACUAUAUGCUAGUGGUAAAGCUGCUUUGAUUGCUGCUGUGUCUGACUCUUGAGCCGAUUGUGAAGAAAAUACAUAAAACACUACAUCAAAUUACCUGGCCAGAAUUUUGGCCUAUUGGAAAAUGCACGUGACAAGGCUGUUAGGAGACCUGAUUUCUAGCAUCAGCUCUCCACUGGCUCCUUGUUGAGCCAUACUUCCUUGACUUCCUUGAGCAAUGAUUCUCAGCCUUAAAGGCUCAUACAAAUGAUCUGGUGAUCUGGUUAAAGGCCAACUGCUGUUUCAGGAUAUCUGGGUGAAGUCUGAGAUUGUGCAUUUUUGACCAUGACCCAGAUGAAGUCCCUGUUGAUCCAGGGAUCACGCUCAGAAUAGCAAAGGACUUGAGAUCCUUUCAUGCUCUGACCCUCACACUCAGUAGUUCUUUCCCCUCUAACCUUAGUGCCUCUACUCUCAAGAAAUUAUUAAAGGAUCUGUCAAAAAGGAGAGUGACUAGCGGCACCUGGGUGGCUCAGUUGGUUGGGUGUUGGACUCUUGAUUUCGGCUCAUGAUCUCAGGGUUCGUAAGAUCAAGCCCCGCAUCAGGCUCUGCAGUGAUGGCACAGAGACUGCUUGGGAUUCUCUUUCUCUCCCUGUCUCUCUACCCCUUCCAUGCUUGUGCUCUCUCUCUCUGUCUGUCUCUCUCUCUCUCUCUCUCUCUCUCUCUCUCUGUCUCUCUCUCAAAAUAAAUUAAAAAGAAAAAGGAAAGGGGCAUUACUAAAAAUUCCUAUCUUGAGGCAAAAUUAAAAAUAAAAACUAUUUAAACUAUGCUAGUAAUGCCUCUAGAAAGAUAUACAAGUAAGAGUACUUUCCUUCAGAGAGGAGGACUAGGUGGCCCAAUUACAGGCAUGGUGGGUUAACUUUACUAUAUACUUUCAUACCUUUGGAAUUUUUACUAAGUGUGUAUUUUCAAUUAAAAAAAAUUUUUUUUAAUGUUUAUUUAUUUUUGAGACAGAGAGAGACAGAGCAUGAAUGGGGGAGUGUCAGAGAGAGAGGGAGACACAGAAUCUGAAGCAGGCUCCAGGCUCUGAGCUCUCAACACAGAGCCCAAUGCAGGGCCCGAACUCACGGACCGUGAUAUCAUGACCUGAGCUGAAGUCAGACGUUUAACCGACUGAGCCACACAGGAGCCCCAAUUUUUAAAAAUUACUCAUUUUAAUGAUCAUUAAAAAAGUGGUUAAUAUGCCAUCUGUGAGUAAACAAGUCACUAAAUUAUUGGUUUGCAUCUAUUAGCAUAACAGAUUAAAAACAAUUUUUUUAAUGUUUAUUUUUGAGAGAGACAGAGCAUGAGCAGGGGAGGGAUAGAGAGAGAAUGAGACACAGAAUCCGAAGCAGGCUCCAGGCUUGGCUGUCAGCACAGAGCCCGAUGUGGGACUCAAACCCAUGAACCAUGAGAUCCUGACCUGAGUGAGGUCAGAUGCUUAACCAACUGAGCCAUCCAAGUGCCCGUAACAGAUUUUUUUUUAAGUUUACUUAUUUUGAGAGAGAGCACGAGAAGGGGAGGGGCAGAGAGAAAGAGGGAGAGAGAGAAUCCCAAGCAGGACGCUGAUCUAGGGAUCACACUUGGAAUAGCAAAAGACUUGAGAUCCUUUCAAACUCUGACACUCACACUCAGCAGUUCUUUCCCCUCUAACCUUAGUGCCUUUACUCUCAAGGAAUUAUUAAAGGAUUUGUCAAAAAGGAGAGUAACUAGGGGCACCUGGGUGACUUAGUUGGUUAAGCAUCCGACUCUUGAUUUUGGCUCAUGAUCUUAGGGUUCAUAAGCUCGAGCCCUGAAUCAGGCUCUGCAGUGAUGGUGUAGUAACUGCUUGGGAUUUUCUCUCUCCCUCUCUCAUGCUCUCUCAAAAUAGAUAAAUAAGCUUUUUUUUUUUUUUUUAAAGAGGGGUGCCUGGGUGGCUCAGUUGGCUCAAUUUCUAUAUAACCGGCUCAGGUCAUGAACUCAGGUUCAUGAGUUCCAGCCCUGCAUGGGGCUUGCUGCUAUCAAUGCAGAGCCCACUUCGGAUCCUCUGUCCCCCUCUCUCUCUGCCCCUUCCACGAUGGUUCUCUCUAUCUCAAAAUAAAUAAAUAAACUUUAAAAAAAAAUGGCGCGGGGGAGACAAAGUGAAUUGUUGGAGAAGCUAUGUAGAAGCAGUGAGCUGACCAAGAAGGGAGAGAGACAUAAUUUAUCCAGGUGGAGAGAAGACAGAACAGUAUAGGCCCGAGAAAAGACUCAGAAGAGAUGGUGACCAGGACCCUGGAUAUUUAAGCCAUGCAGUUGCAAGACAACUGAACCGUAGCAUUUUCCUCAUGUUUUAAUUUUAAAAUCUGAUGAUUUUGCUGGCCCCUGCUUCAUGAUGUACAGGUGGUGAUUGUAAAAAUAACUGUAGCGAUUUUGGGGUUUUCUCCACCCACCAUUUAGCAAGAAUUAUGCAAUAUCAAGAAUUCAAUCUUCUGAGUAAGUCAGUUUCAUUAAAGUUUUUUUUAGCUCUCCUGCUGUGAAACAGCCACCAGCACUACCUCGUGAUUGCCACUAGAGGGACUAGAACCAAAGGAAUCAUCAAGCUUCACUGUGUUAGAUUCCUACUGCAUACUAGAUUCUUACUCAACAUUCUGCAUUUUAAGAAACACUUUUUUUGAAGCAUAUUUCUUAUUUAUGCAUUUUUAAAUACUUUUAAAAAGCAAGGCUCCUCUGAAAGAUAUAAAAUUUAAAGAGUACUAUUGACCAUUAUCCCCAAUACCCACCAACAAAAUAGCCACUUAAUAAUGUUGAUUCCUUUUUUUUUUUCCUAAUGUUUAUUUAUUUUUGAGAGAGAAAGAGCGUCAGCAGGGGAGGGGCAGAGAGAGAGAGAGGGAGACACAGAGAAUCCAAAGCAGCUCCAGGCUCUGAGCUGUCAGCACAGACCCCAACACAGGGCUCAAACUCUCAGACCGUGUAAUCAUGAGCUAAAGUCUGACGCUUAACUGACCAAGCCAUCCAGGCGCCUCUAUAAUGUUAAGAUGUUUGUGUGUCCUUCCAAAUAUUUUCAAUUUCUAUAUGAAUAUAUGUAUUAUUCUUUUUUUUUUAAGUUUAUUUAUUUAUUUUGAGAGAGAGAGAAAGCACACAAAUGGGGGAGGAUCAGAGAGAGAGGGAGAGAGAGAAUCCCAAGCAUGCUCCAUGCUGUCAGCACAGAGCCUGAUGCGGGGCUCAAACUCACACACUGUGAGAUCAUGACCUGAGCUGAAGCCAAGAGUCAGACAUUUAACUGAUUGAACCACCCAGGUGCCCCAAACAUAUGUAUUAUUCUUUUAUUUAAAACUGUGAUCUAUCUUCUGACUACCACUGUGACUUUAUCUCCUACCACCUUCCCCCUGUUAUGCAGACUGUAUUCCAGGUCUUCAAACUUGCCAACUUGUUUCAGCUUUAGGACCUUUGCACUGACUAUAUUAUUUUCCUGGACCACUCUUUUCCCACAUUUUUCUCAUUCGGGUGUCAGCUUAUUUGUCAAUUCUCAGGCUUUUUGUGACAUCCAUCAAAUAUUCCCUACCGAAGUCAGUCUCUGUUACCUUUGUUUAUUUAUGUACUUGCAUACUUAUGCACUACUAAAAUGUAAUCUUUAUGACAGCCAGAGCCAUAGCUGCCUUGUUUACUUCAUAUCCCUAGAUUCUAGAACAUAAAUUAGGGACUCAAAAGGUAUCUGUUAACUGAAUAAGUGAAAAAGUGUUGUACAUACUAUUCUGCAACUUGUUUUUUCACUUAAUAUAUCUUGUACAGGUUGUAUUUUACUUUUUGCGGAUAAGCUUUAUUAUUUCAGUUAUAUUCUGUAUUUAAUUUUUUUAGAUAUUCACAUGACUCAAAAAUAAAACAAUAUAAAAGGGUAUUCAAUGGAAAGUCUUGCAUUUACUUCUACCAUCUACCUAGUUCCCACUCAACCAGAUAAUCAUUUAUAUUCAUUUAUUGUGUAUCCUUCCUUAUGCAAAUACACAUAUACUUAUUAUUUUCUUCCUUUUUUACACAAAAGAGUGGCAGGUUAUGUAUACUGUUUCUAUACUUCAUUUGUUUAACCAAGCACAAACCCAGAAUUUAUAUAUGGAUUUAUAAUUUAUUUUACUCAAUUCUCUAUUAAUGGACGUUUAGUUGUUUUCAAUUUUUAAUCACUGUUUUCAAUUGUAAUCAUUGUUGCAAUAAUUAUUUUCAUGCUCAAUAAAUGUACAGUAGAAUAAAUUCCUGGAAGUGGGAUGACUGAAUAAAAAGGUGUGCGUAUAUUGAAUCAUGAGCGAUCUUACCAAACUUCCCUCUGAGAAGAUUGCCUCAAUUUUUAUCCCCACCAACAGUGUACAAGAGCACUAACUUCCCCACACUCUUUCCCAUCAUAAGUAUUAUUGACUUGAAAAUAUUAUUUCAUCCAAUCUGAUGAAUGAAAAAUGGUUGCUCAUUGUUUUGAUUCUCAUUUCUUUAAUCAUGAAUGAAGUUGAACACCUUUUCAUAUUUUAAAAAUAGUUUUAUUGAUACACAUUUCACAUGCCAUAUAAUUCACCCACUUAAAGUCUAUUUAGUAUAUUCACAACCAUCACCGUAAUCCAUUUAAAACAAAUUUUUUUUAAUGUUUAUUUUAUUUUUGAGAGAGAGAGCACAAGCAGGGGAGGAGCAGAGAGAGAGGGAGACACAGACUCCAAAGCAGGCUCCAGGCUCUGAGCUGUCAGUGCAGAGUCCAACAUGGGGUUUGAACUCACGAACCAUGAGAUCAUGACCUGAGCUGAAGUCAGACACUUAACCAACUGAGCCACCCAGGAGCCCCACCAUAGUCCAUUUUAGAAUAUUUGCAUCACCUCAAAUAGAAACCUGCAUCCUUUUGUUUUUGUUUUUAAGUGAGUUCUAUGCCCAGUGAGGGGUGUGAAUUCAUGACCCUGAGAUCAAGAGAGUCACAUGUCCCACCGACUAAGCCAGCCAGGUGCCCCAAAACCUGUAUCCUUUAGAUAUUAGUCCCUUUCCCCCCUGUUGCCCCAGGUCCUAAGAAACCACUAAUCUCCUUUCUGUCUCUACAUAUUUGCCUUUUCUGGAUAUUGCAUAUAAAUAGAAUCAUAUGUGUUUUUUUAUGACUAGCUGCUUUCACUUAGCAUAAUGUUUUUAAGAUUCAUCUAUGAAUUCAGCAUGUAUAGUGAUUCAUUCCUUUUUAUGGUCAAAUAAUAUUCUGUCAUGUGGAUAUACAUUUUUUAAUCCACUUGCCAUUGAUGAACAUUUCUGUUGUUUCCACCGUGUAUUUUUAUAGCAACAUACAAUUUUAGAGCAGCCAAGGACCUUAGGAUUGUGAAGAUGAUACUACAUUUAGCAAAUAGUCUCCUUAACUACUGAGUCAUUUCUGGUGGGUAAAACAUUAGGCUGGGAAACACAACACUGAAAAUAUCAACCUUGCCACAGCAGGACUCUCUGUGUAAUUUUAAUGUUUCUUUUCUUUGAGCCUUAGUUUGUGUAUUAGCUCAGGCUGCCAUAAUAAAAUACCAUACACUGGGUGGCUUAAACAACAGGAGUCUUUUCUCAGUUCUGGAGGCUAAGAAGUCUAAGAUCAAAGUGACGGCCAAUUUGGUUCCUUGGUGAGGAACUUUUUUCUGUCUGCAAAUGGCCACCUGCUCACAGUCCUCAUGUGGCAGAGAGAAGGAGCUCUAGUCUCUUUCUCUUAGUCUUCCUUGGAGAUACUAAUCCCAUCAUGGGGGCUUCACCCUCAUGACCUCAUCUAAACCUAAUUACCUCCCAAAUACCCUACCUCCAAAUCUCAUUGCAGUUGGGCAUUAGGGCUCCAAUGUGUGAAUUUGGGGGGAGAGGGCACAAGCAUCAGUCCAUAACAGUUUCCCAAAUUUAAACCCACUUCUACCUACACAUCAACUAAGGAAGAACGAAAUAGGAUCAAGAUCUUGAAUUUCUUAGAGAAGUGCUUACCCAAAAAAAGGAAGUGGAAGAAGUUAACUAAUGAAGAAAUAGGAUAACUUCUACAUAGUUCCUGUGGAGUAUAUACCUCAAAUAUGAAUCAUGCUGAUAUGUCUGUCCUUGAGUUCUUACGACAGACUAAAUCAAGCAGUUAGACUUAUAAUAGAUAAUUUACUAAAUAAGGUGAUUUAAAUGCAAUAAGCGUUCGCGUGGAAGAUCACCUAAGAAGUAUCACAAAAUGCGGAACCACAGGCUAUGCCUACUGUAAUAGUAUUUCUCAGCACUGGUAUUUUGAAUUUUUUAAAAAUGUUUAUUUGUCUAUGAAAGAGAGAGAGAGGGCGGUGGACAGAGGAUCCUAAGCCAGCUGGUGGCAGCGAGCCCCAAUGUGGGGCUCGAACUCACAAACUAUGACAUCAUGACCUGAGCCGAAAUUGGAAGUUCAACUGACUAAACCACCCAGGUGCCCCAGCACUGGUACUUUGGAUGACACAAGGUUAAGACUGUCUCAUGCAUUGUAGGAUAUUUAACAUUCUGGUGCUCCAAAUUAAUAAAUGCCAAUAGUGGUCUCCAAUUAUUGUGACUAUGGAAAAUUCCCUCUUACUAUUUCCAAAUGCUACAUGGGGGUGAGGUAGUACUGAUGAAAUAUUCUAGUCCAGCUCAUGCAUUAUAUAAAUGAGGAAAACAGUCCAGAGAAGUCAUUGAGCCAGAUGAUCUGACUUCUUCCCAAAUGGUCUUUCCAUUGUUGUAUAUAACACUUGCUCCUCACUCUCACUACUCAAAGUUAAAGGAGAAGCCGUUCUCCACUGAAAUCCUACCCUUACUUGCCCACAUCUUUCUUGCCUUUCCUUUCUAUCCCUUUUUUCUCAUUUUUCAAUACAAUAGUCCAGUUAAACCAUUUCAUCCAUUUAUUUUAACACAUUUAUUGGACACCUAAUAUGUUUCAUGUUCUGGGCUAGGGGCUAGAAACACAGUGGUGAACAAAACAGACAUGGCCACUACCCUUGUGGAUAAACUGAAAGAGAUGAACAAUUUUAAAGUAGAAUAAACGCAUAUAGAUAUAUAAUUAUUAAUUGUGAUAGUGACAGAAAUGAAAAGAACAAAGGGGGAGCUAAUUUGGAAUUGAGGCACAAGGGAAUACCUCUGAGAGGAAGUAACACUUAAGAUGAUGCCUGAAGGCCAAUAGGCGUGAAGAGGAAUACAGCUGAGCAAAGACCCUGAGUUGGAAGGUGCUGGGAAAGAAGGCCUUUGUGGAUAGAACACCAUUAUAAUGAGCACAGGGUAGAGUUGGGAGACAGUGCUGGAGGACUGACUGAGAGGGAUACAGGGCCUUGCUGGCCACAAGGAGGGGUCUGGAUUUUAUUCCAAGAGUAAAUAUCCAAUUUGUGUCUUAAAUUUUCAGUAUAUGUGCUGCCGAAGUGAGCACUGUGUCUUAAAUUUUUAAAGAGCAGGGAUGCCUGGCUGGCUCAGUCGGAAGAGUAUGUGACUCUUGAUCUCAGGGUCAUGAGUUCAAGCCCCACGUUGGGAGAAGUAGAGAUUACUUAAAUAAAUAAACUUUAAAAAUAAGUAAAUUUUAAAAGAUCACUGUGAUAAAGCUCAUGAUGUGAGAUUCCAUUUCAGCGAAGUGCAAGAACUGGCAAAACUGAUGUAGGGUAAUAAAAGAAGAGCAGUUCCCUGAUGAAUGGGGAGAGUGGGAGACUGAAGGGCAUAAAGAAACUUCCUGGGGUGAUGAGGGCCAUAUGGAUGUAUUCAUUUAUCAAAACUCAUCAAAAUGUUAAGCUAAUAUUUGUGCAUUUUACUGUAUGUACUUUUUACCUCGAUUAAAAACAUAGAGGUCAUUCUGGCCACAGGUACUUUAGUGAAGCAGCUUUGUCAAUGGCGAGUUGACAAGCCAAGAAAGAAUUCAGAGCCAAACUCUUAAACAAGCAAGUGUUUAAUAGCAAUUCAAACAAAGGUACAUUCUGGAGACGAAAAGUGGGCAUGUCCAAAGGUGGCAGAUUCCCCAAGAGGGAUCAGGACUGUUUUUCUUUCUUUUUUUUUAAUUAUUAUUUCUUUUAAAAUGUCUAUUUAUUUAUUUUGAGAGAGAGAGAGAGAGGGAAUAGGUGUGUGUGCAUGGGGAAGGGGCAGAGACAGAAGGAGAGAGAAAAUCCCAAGCAGGCUGACAGCACAGAGCUCUAUGAGGGCCUCGAUCUCACGAACCUGGACAUCAUGACCUGAGUCAAAAUUAAGAGUCCAAAAUCAACAGUUGGGCACUUAACCGACUGAGCUUUUAUUAUUUCUUUUAAAGCAGUCUCUAUGCCCAGUGUGGGCUAGAACUCACAGCCCCCAAGAUCAAGAGUCUAGGGCUUUACCUACUGAGCCAGCCAGGUACUCCUUUUUUUUUUUUUUUUUUUUUCUUAAAUGUUUAUUUAUCUUUAUGCUGGGUUCAAACCCUCACACCACGGGAUCAUGACCUGGCUGAAGUCGGGCACCUGACAGCCACCCAGGCACCCUGCCAGGUACUCAUUUUUAUGUUUAGGUAGGUUUUGGGUCAUACUGAGGGUGGUUCUUGACCAAGGUUGCAGCCAAUCAGCUAAGGGACUCCUCCUGGUUGAGAGGGGCAGUUUGGAGCCCUCUGUGGUCUAUGUCAGAAGUGUCAAGGCAACUUCUCCCCGCCCCCGCCCCCCCUCCCGCCCCCAGGGUGUAGGGGGUAAAAACCACAAUGUAAAUAUAUCAUAAUGAAGCUAUAGGUUACUGUAGAGUCGUGAUCCUAGGGAAGACUGCAUGCAUCUUUUGGAACUUGGUUUCUGCCCUUUUACCUGUCGGAUAGCAUUUCUUCUUCAUAUCUAACUAACUGCAUAGUCUAUCAGUAUCAGGUUCAAACUACAUAAAAUUGAGGUUAUAGACUUUCUUUAAAUGUUUAUUUAUUUUGAGAGAGAGGGACAAACCAGGGGAGGGGCAGAGAGAGAAUCCCAAGCAGGUUCCAUGUGGAGGAGCCCAGUGCAGGGCUUGGACCCACAAACUGCAAGAUCAUGACCAGAGCCAAAACCAAGAGUUGGAUGCUUAACCUUAACCUAUGAGCCACCCAGGCACCCCAUAGACUUUUUUUUUUUAACCCAAGGCCCAGAAAGAUUAAUAAGUUAGACUCUCUCAGGCCUCAAAGAACCAUUUAGUUCAUUUAAAACUACUUUGCUCUAAAAGGAAGGGGGUGGGGGGAGGGAGUCAACUAGUAAAUAUGAAGAAAUACCUUCUACAUAGUUCCUGUGGAAUGUAUGCUCCAAUUAUCAAUUAUGCCUAACACUACAUCUACUCUCGAGUUUUUACUGCAGACUAAAUCCAACGUUUUGACUUAUAAAUAGAAUAUGUUAAAUUCAUUGAGUGUCUGCCUGGAAGUUAAGACUUGGGCUUCCCAGUUCUCUACAAAAGUGCCCAUCAGUGGAGCUUCACAGGAUACUAGAAUCAGCUGGGCAGCUUUAAAACUAUUACUGCCUGGAACCCCCCACCCCCACCCCACCCGGAUAUGUCAAUGUAAUCAGUCUGGGGUCUAGCCUCAGCAUUGAAAUUUUUAAGCAGUCCAAGGCCAGAAAGUAGCCAAGGUUGGAAACAAAUGCCUGGGCAAUUCCACCUGGAUUUCUUUCUUCUAUCUUUAAAACGACUCCCAUCAAAGAUUGACUGAGCAUUUUUGCAUAAUAAGGGCCCUAGAAACUGCCAUUGCCUUCUAUUGAAUUAUUUAAAGAAAACUUUAAGAUUUAGAUUUUGAUACCUUCCCAAUCCCAAGUCUCAAACUGUUUUAGUGCUGACCUGGAAUCAAACCGCUCUCCAGUGCCCUAUCCCCACUUUCGGGGCUCUGAGGCCCAGAUUACAUCUCCCUCUCUGGAUAUAAUCUGCUGGGGGUUCAGUGCCCCAUUCCCCUUGGCAAUGCACUAAGUUUGCUUUUGAGUGUGUUUUCUGAUUGACCUCUUCCAGCUUGCUAAGUUGAAGGUUUUUUUUGUCUCCCAUAUCCAGCUGUCUUUGGCCUAAGAGGGAAGGAAUUAAUGAGAGAACAAACCCUUCCUCCCUCCUCUUUGCCCAGAAAGCUAGAUGGGAGAAUAGGGGAACUGCAAAUCCCAGUUCAAUGGGGUCGGUACAGACCAAUUACAUUGAAGCCUCAGGCAAAGCAAAACUACCUCCUCUGUCCUGUUGUGGUUUAUUUGAAGGCACAUUAAUGUUUGCCCCCCACAUUCCCCUCAAAAAGUCUCCCUCAACUUGUUCAGGAUUUAUGAAAUUUCUUCAUUUCCAUCAUAUCUGUAUAGUGUCCCCAGAAACUUAGUUCAUCACAAUACUCAUUUGUUGGGCACCUACCAAGUGCCAGGUUAAAACAUUUCCAAGUCCCGAUAUUUAAUUUACAGAAUAAAGUGCUCUCUGUAAAACACAUCCAACUAUGUACGGUACUGUUUUUUUUUAAGUGUAUUUAUUUAUUUUGAGAGACAGAGAGUGCAGGGGAAAGGCAGAGAGAGAGAGAGAGAGAGAGAGAGAGAGAGAGAGAGAAAAUCCCAAGCAGGCUCCUUGCAGUCAGCACAGAGCCCAACAUGGGGCUUGAACUCAAGAAGCGUGAGAUCACUACCUGAGUCAAGAUCAAGAGUCAGCCACUUAAGCAACUGAGGCACCCAGUACACCCAGUACCUUUGUUCCUUGGACCGUGCAAAUGCACUGUUUGAGGAUUUGUAUUAUAAAAUGGUGAAAUCCUGUGAUUAAAUGUUCUUUUGAAUAUGUAAAUAUGGAUAUAAUGCAAACUUCCUAAGUAAAAAACUCAAGAAUAGCAUGAUUUCAGAGCUGGGGAGCUGAGUCCAUUGCAAAUAUUGUUGAUACUUUAGCUGCUAAACAAAAAACAUUUCACCACUGACCUUUAUCCAAAUUAGUCUUGAAAAAUGUGAUGUUUGAAUUGACGUGAGCAGGAGCACAGAUGUUGUUUAAAACAAAAUACAUAAUCCUAUGUUUGAAUUUUCUGUACAUGAGUCCAUUUCCCCAUCUGAACUGUGAAUUCCCAAAACUCAGGAACCUGCUUCUCGUAUCAGCAUACCCUUCCCCCAAGUACAGAACGUUUACAUGAGGUAGGUGUUCAAUAAAUCUGUGUUGGAUUUAUAGUGCUUAGAGAAUGGUUCAUUUCACAUGGUAAUUUCUGAAGUAAUGUGGUGGUUAAAAGAUGGCCUCUGGGAAAUAAAUAUACUGGAGAAUUAUGAAGCAACAAUCUGACGGGUUAUCCUGCCCUCUCCAGGCAGAGGGACACCAUUUCUGGCAGACCAGAGUCUCUGGAGCCCAUUGAGAGGCCAUUAUCUACUUUUCUAUUACCUGCCUCACCCGGUGUUAAGAAAAGGGAGGAAGAGAAGAAUAAAGAUCAUGAGAUACAGUCAUUGACCAGGAUUAACUCAUAUUCUAGGGCUGAGGUCUUCAAACUGGAGUACUGGAAGACUUGACAGGGAAUAUGUAGGUAUAUAUAAUUUAAGAAAAUUAUAUGCCCAUACCCUCACCUAUACCUUUUGGUAGCCUGAUUCAGGCUAUCCUUCUCCAUUUCCUUUUCAUGACAGCUUUCAUACUUACAAAGAAAAGUCACGCCCACCUUGGUCUGCAAUACUACUGCAGUGUAACAAUGUCCCAAGUGUGACAACUUCUAAGAUGCCAUACAAAUGGACAGUAGUUGGAAAUGGACCAAUUUAAUGUUUUAUCAAGAUGCCAUAAGCCCUCCUUAGCUUCCUGCCUUUUCCAGACUUAAACAUAUUUCUGUUAAGGGUGGAUCACUGAUUUAUAAAUGGGGUAUACUGGCCUUGGGAUGUUCUGAAAUCAGUGUGGACAAUGGGAGCAAUGGUAAUUCGUGUUUAACCUAAUUUCUUUCAUCCUUCAGCUAUUGUCCAAGAAUGUCUUUUCAUGAAGGAAAAUCUGAGAAAAGCAAAGAGAACUUCAGUUAGAAAUACUGAAAGGUUUAAAAUAGCUUUAGUAUGAAUUUAAGUUUUAAAAAUUCUCUUUCAUCUAUUACAGCACUAAUCCCCAGGAUGUGUCAUUAGCUGGAAAGAAAAUACAGUUGAGUAGCUGAAGUAAUGCAGGUUAGUGAGGCUGAUUCUUUUAAAUAUAACUAGAAAUUUUCCUUAGAAUGCCUUUUUUUUUUUUUUUUUUAAAUAAACACUCCACCAAAUGUGGGGCUGGAACUCAUGGCCGGGAGAUCAAGAGUCACAUGCUCUACUGACUGAGCCAGCCAGGAGAACCAAAUUUUUUGAGUUUUUGACACUGUAUAAAACCUAUAGAUAAACAUUUUACGUAACUUAUUUUAAAUUUUCUUUUAGGGUUUAUUUUUGAGAGAGAGAGCACACACAAGUGGGGCAGGGGCAGAGAGAAGAGAACAGAGGAUCCGAAGCAGGCUCUGUGCUGACAGCAGCAAGCUGGAUGUGGUGCUUGAACUCACGAACUGAGAAAUCUGAAGUUGGACGCUCAACCAGCUAAGCCACUCAGGUGCCCCUUAUGUAACUUAUUUUCGAUUCUGUGUUGUGGAUUAUCAAAUACCAUAGUUAGCACAUGUCUUAUUAAAUCAUAUCAAAAAUACUUCUUCCAUCUGUAUAAGUUUCUGAUGUUGCGUAAAGUUACCAUGAACCACACACUUGGUAGCUCUAAACAGCAUACGUUUAUUAUUGCAGUUUCCAUGGUUACGGAGGUUUUAACUGAAUCUGCUACUCAGGGUCUCACAGUCUGCAGUCAAGGUGUACUCUGGGGGGUUGGUCUCAUCUGAGGCUUGGGGUUCUAUUUCAAGCUCACUGAUUGUUGACAGAAUUCAGUUUGGCAGUUGUAGGACUGAGGAGCCACCUUUCUUGCUGAUGACAGCUGGGAUCCACUCUGUUCCUAGAGGCCCCUGCAGUUCCUUGUCAGGUGGCCAGCUCACAAGGUGGCCAGGUUACCUCUCAGAAGCCAGCAGGAGAAUCACUCCAGUGAGCUAAAACGGGUUUAUAGAGGGGCGUCUGGGUGGCUCAGGAGGUUAAGCGGCCAAUUCUUGAUUUCUGCUCAGGUCAGGAUCUCAUGUUUUGUGAGAUCAAUCUCCCCUUCCGGCUCUGUGCUGGCAGCACAGAUACUGCUUGGGAUUCUCUCUGUCUCUGUCUCUGUCUCUCCCUCUCUCUCUCUGCCCCUCCUGCUCAUGCUCUCUCUUUUUCAAAAAUAAGUAAACUUUUAAAAAAUUUUAAAACAGGUUUAUGCAAUGUGAGUUAAUCAAAGGAGGAGCUAUCCUACGUAUUCAUAGGCCCCGCCCAUACCUGGGAGAAAGGAUGAUAGAUACAGAAGGGCAGAUAUUCUAGGGAAUAUCUUAGAAUUCUGCCCUCCCCCCCACCAUCUUCAUCUCAUUCCCAUUUUUAAAAGGUUUAGAGGUGCCUGGGUGGCUCAGUCCGUUAAGCAUCCAACUCUCAGUUUUGGCUCAGGUCAUGAAUUCAGUUUUGUGGGUUCCAACCCCACAUCAGGCUCUGCACUGACAGUGCAGAGCCUGCUUGGGACUCUCUCUCCCUGUCUCUCUGCCCCUCCUCAGCUCAUUCUGUCUCUCUCAAAAUACAUAAACUUAAAAAAAAUUUUUUUAAUGAAAUGUUUAAAAAUUUCUGCCUUCUAUUACCAAAAUACAAAAUUGUAUUUUAGUGGCUAGAGCAGCUGAUUAAUUUUUAGCAUGAUAUAACUUCUUCUUUUUGCUAUAAUACACAGGGAAAAUGUGAUGAUGGUGUCUAGAAAAAUUAGCAGAAUAAUUUAGGAUCCAUAUUUAACUAAUGGAAUUAUUUCAUAAUCCUUAUUUAACUAUUCCUUCAAAACUAUAUCAGAGACCAAUAUGCAUAUAUAAAUUUGCUUAAGAAUGCCACAUUUUUAUAAAUAAUUUUAGCUGUAUAUUAUAUUGUAUUAUUAUAAAUUAAGUAAUAAAAGCCUUAGAUAAGGAUCAUGUUGAGGCACCUGGGUGGCUCAGUUGGUUAAGCAUCUGACUUUGGCUCAUGUCAUGAUCUCAUGGUUUUUGAGUUCAAGCCCCAUAUUGGGCUCUGUGCUGACAGCUCAGAGCCUGGAGCCUGCUUCAGAUUCUGUCUCCCUCUCUCUCUGCCCAACCCCUGCUUAUAUCUGUCUGUCUGUCUCUGUCUCUCUCUCUCUCUCUCUCUCAAAAAUGAGUAAAUGUUAACAAUUUUUUUAAAAAGAUCAUGUUUUAUCAUUAUAAUAAAAAAUAAAUUAAUUUAUAUUACAUAAAAGUUGAUUUAGUCUUAUUUGGUUGCUUUUAAUAAUCUGUUUAAAUUAUACAUUCUUAGAAAAUUUUUUUCUUGAAGGGCACCUGCGUGGCUCAAUCGCUUAACCAUCGGAAUUAGGCUCAGGUCAUGAUCUUACAGUUCAUGAGUUUGAGCCCCACAUAGGGCUCUGUGCUGACAGCAUGGAGUCUGGAGCUUGUUUGGAGUUCUGUGUCUCCCUCUCUCUCUGCCCCUCCCCUGCCCCUGCUCACACUCUGUCUCUCUCAAAAAUAAAUAUUUUUAAAAAUUGCAAAAAAUUUUUUUCUUGGUUAAAUGUAUCAUUUCUGAAUCAGCACCUGACUUAAACCCACAAAGUUCAAGGGAGAAUAUCCUCUUCCAGAAAGUCAUGUGCUUCCUAGAACAGGGUUUUGGCUACUUGGAAUUUCACCAGUUACCUGCAGGUGAUAUUUAAUCUUCAUGGUGAUUUUUCUUUCAUAAGAAUAUGGUAAAUUAAUUGCAAUUUUAAUUAUCUACUUUAUUUCUUUUCUUUACUACUACCAUCAUAAAUUUAAGUGAUGUAUUAAUUUAACUAUUUAGUGGAUUUGCAGUCUAACUAAUACACACACACACACACACACACACACACACACACAUAUUUUAAAAUAAUCUCUAUUCCCAAUGCAGGGCUUGAACUGAGGACCAUGAGAUCAAGUGUCGCAUGCUGUACCGACUGAGCCAGCCAGGUACCCUUAACCAGCUUAUAUUUUAAUUAUAAUUGCAAGAGAUGCUAUAUUUCAAAAUCUCACCUACCACACAAAAAAAACAGUUUUCUCAUGUGAAUGCCUUCUGUAUGAAUGAUAAGUGAUAUAUUCCCCGAGUUCUAUGCGGUCAGGAAUUGUAUAUUUCUUCUCCAUGUUCAUACCCAUUUAUGCAUCAUUAUGUACUUGGUUGCUUUUUUUUUCUUUUCUUUUCUUUUUAAGUAAUUUCUGCAUUUGACAUGGGGCCUGAACUCCAGACCUCAAGAUCAAGAGUCACAUGCUCUACCAACUAAGACAGCCAGGCACUCUGUAUUACAUUAUGUAUAUAGUGGAUACUUUGUAGUAUCGAUGAAAUGAUCAAUUGAAGACUAAGUAAAAUAUAUUUACUUUUUAAUAUACUUUUUAAUGUACUUAAAAUAUACUUUUUAUUUUAUUUUAUAUUUUAUGAAAUAUACUUUAAUAUACUUAAAAUAUAAAAAUAUACUUUUUAAUAUACUUUAAAAGCUUAUCACCAAAUAGGUGAGAUAAUACAAAUGCACAAACAACUAUUAUGAUGCAAGAUGUGUAAAGUAAAAAAUAUCAUGUACCAGUUUCUAUAGAAACAGAGAGAAAUAUUCAAAUAUGAAAAUAAGUGAAGAUUUCAAGGUAGAAUUAAUAUUAGUGAUAAAGGAGAUUUAAAAAAUAGGUCCCAGGGUGCCUGGGUGGCUCAGUCAUUUAGGCAUCUGACUCUUGAUUUCAUCUCAGGUCCUAAUCUCACAGGUCCAUGAGUUUGAGUGCCACAUCAAGCUCCAUGAUAAAAGUGUGAAGCUUGCUUGGGAUUCUGUCUCUCUCCCUCUCUCUCUGCUCCUCCCCCAUUAAUUCUCUCUCUCUCUCUUUCUCUCUCUCUCUCUCUCACUCUCAAAAUAAAUAAAUAAACUUUAAAACUAAAAAAUAGGCCCCAAUAAAGUUUUAAAUCAAACAUAUUUGAUAUUAUUUGAACCAAUAAAAUUAGGUAGAAAUGUCUGAGGGCUCCAUAAAAGAGGUGUAAGUGGCAAAGAUGUUUCCGAGAAAACAUUAUCACCUGGAUUUCUGUCCAUUUCUUGAUUCUUCAGGGGCUGGCCUAAUAAUCACAGCAUACCUUGAUUUUGCUCAGGGGACUUCGACAUGUCUUUGAGCUGAGCCAGUGCCUCUUCAGAAACCCACAAGGUAAGCAGAAAGCAGAUCGUUCUGAUCCAUUGUCUCUCAAGUAUGGGGUAAUUAUUGUGAAUGAGUAAAUACCAUGCUUCCCAGCAUUAGGAAUUGGGAAAGAUAGAAGAGAAUAUUACUCAUCUUAGUUUUCUCCUUUGGGUUUCUGACUCUUCCUUUGAGGCACUAGUACCAAAACUUACUUGGCUAUAGGAAUGAUUAUGAACUUUAUGAUUCAUUAAAAAAAACAUUUAUUGAGCUCCAAUGUUAAUACUAGACAUUGAGUAAAAAGCUGAAGCCAAAAGUGAAAAAAAAUAGGUGGUCAUUGACCCUACAGAGUGGAAAAGAGGAGACACUCAUUUAAGUUUUGUUUUUAUUAAAAAAAUAUUUUUUAACAUUUAUUUUUGAGAGAGAGAAAAUGAGCAUGAGUGGGGGAGGGGCAGAGAGAGAGAGGGAGACAGAAUCCGAAGCAGGCUCCAGGCUCCGCGCUGUCAGCACAGAGCCUGAUGCGGGGCUCAAGCAUGUGAACCAUGAGAUCAUGACCUGAGCCAAAGUCGGACGAUUAACCGACUGAGCCACCCAGGUGCCCCCUCAUUUAAGUUCUUAUAAUAUUAUUAAAUAUCUUUGAAAGUCUUGUUAUAUUUUAAAUAAGUUAUUUAGAGAUGUAAUAGUUUGUAUUUUAGUAAUUUGUGAGUUGAUCUUAUGAAGCAUGAGUGAUCAAGUGUUUUUUUGUUUCUUCAUUUAUUCUUUCUUUUUCAUUGAGGUAUCAUUGACAUAUGAUGUUAUAUUAGUUUCAGGUAUACAACUUGAUAAUUUGAUAUAUGUAUAUAUCGGAAUAUUGUGAAAUAAUUACCAUAAUAAGUCUUGUUAACAUCUGUCACCUACACAUUGUUACAGAUAUUUUUCUUGUGAUGAGAACUUUUAAGAUCUGCUCUCUUAGCAACUUCCAAAUAUACAAUGCAGUAUUAUUAACCAUAGUCAACAUGCUGUACAAUACAUCACCCAAGACUUAUUUAUUUAUUUAUUUUUUUACUGUUUAUUUAUUUUUGAAAGAGAGAAACAGAGAGUACAAGUGGGGGAGGGGGAGAGAGCGGGAGAGAGAGAGAAUCCCAAGAAGGCCUGGCAUUGUCAGCAUGGAGCCCAACGCAGGGCUUGAUUUCACAAACCGUGAGAUCAUGAACUGAGCCGAAAUCAAGAGUCAAACACUUGACUGACUGAGCCACCUAGGCACCCCAGUAGUGUGGUUUUUAGAAUGUAGCAAAAGCUACAAUUUCCUCAGGAAAAUGAGGUUGGUUGUGAGGUUCAAACAAGAACCAUGAGAAGAGGCUUAGAAACUGUGAAAGGUACUAAUCACCAUUAGUAGUAGUAGUAGUAGACCCUGUUUUAGAGCCUCCCCUAGUGGUAAUGAGCUGGGAAGUGUUUAAUAUAUUAAAUACAACUAUAUGCUCAACCGACUGAGCCACCCAGGCGCCCAUAAAUAUAACUAUAUGCAAUAUACUUUACUCGGAAGACAAAUCAGCAUUGUCUUCAAUAGUAUCAAGAAUGGCAUCAAAUUUGGGGCACCUGGGUGGCUCAGUCGGUUAGGCAUCCGACUUCAGCUCAGGUCAUGAUCUCACAGUCUGUGAGUUCAAGCCCCAUGUGACACUCAGAGCCUGGAGCCUGCUUCCGAUUCUGUGUCUCCCUCUCUCUCUGCCCCUCCCCCGCUCAUGCUCUGUCUCUCUCUGUCUCAAAAAUAAAUAAAAACAUUAAAAAAAUUUUUAAAAAAGAAUGGCAUCAAAUUUGGGGCACCUGGGUGGCUCAGUAGGACAAGCGCCCAACUUUGGCUCAGGUCAUGAUCUCACCACUCAUGGGUUCAAGCCCCGAGUCAGGCUUUGUGCUGACAGCAAGCAGCCUUAAGCCUGCUUCAAAUUCUGUGUCUCCCUCUGUCUCUUCUCUGCCCCUCCCCCACUUGCUCUCUCUCUCUCUCUCUCUCAAAAAUAAAUAAAACAUUAAAAAUUAAUUUUUAAUUUUUUUUAGGUUUAUUUACUUUGAGAGAGACAGAGACAGUGCAAGUGGGGGAAGGGCAGAGUGAGAGAGAGAGAGAGAGAGAGAAUCCCAAGCAGGCUCCACAUCUCCAGUGCAGAGCCUGACUCGGGACUUGAACUCACUAGGCAAGAUCAUGACCUGAACCGAAACCAAGAGUUGAAUGCUUAACUGACUGAGCCACUCAGGGACCCCACAUUUAAAAUUUUUUUAAUGUUUUAUUUAUUUAUUUUGAAGGAGAGAGAGAGAGAGAGAAACAGAGAGAGCAUGCCAGCAGGGGAGGGGCAGAGAGAGAGGGAGACAGAGGAGGAUCCGAAGUAGGAUGCUUGCUGUCAGUGCAGAGCCCUAUGUGGGGCUCCAACUCAUGAGCCAUGAGAUCAUGACCUGAACCAAAAUCAAGAGUCCAAGGCUUGACUGACUGAGCCACCUAGGCACUGCUAAAUUUUUUAAUUUUUUAAAAAAUUUAAGCAUAGCUGACACACAAUGUGACACACAUUACACUAAUGCAAUUAGUUUCAGGUAUACCAGCUAGGGAUUCAACAAGUUUGUAUGUUACAUUAUCCUCACCACAAGUAUGGCUCUUAUAAAAUGUUCUUACAAUAGUUAUCACAGUGCAUAUGAACAUAACUUCUUGUUGAGAAAUGAAGACGUUUUCUGAAAGAAAGUAAAUCCAAUUUUGCUGGUUAGAUUGAUAAUGAGGACUAGCUUUGAAACUUCUUUAUGUGUUGGGAAUUUUCUAUACCUAUACUGACCAACACAGUAGGCUUUACCCAUGUGUAGCUAAGGUUAACUGUGGAAUUGAAUUUUUUUAAGUUUAUUUGUUUAUUUUGAGAGAGAGAGAGCGUGCACACACACAUGCAAGCAGGAGAGAGAGAGAAUCCUAUGCAGGCUCUGUGCUGUCAGCGCAGGGCCUGAUGCAGGGCUCAGACUCAUGAACAAUGAGAUCAUGACCUGAGACAAAAUCAAGAGUUGGAUGCUCAACCAACUGAGCCAAUCAGGUGCCCCUGGAAUUGAAUGUUUAAUUUAAUUUAAUUUUUUUGAGGGAGAGAGUGCACAGGGGGUAGGGGGAGGGAGACAGGAAGAGAGAGAAACCCAAGCAGGCUCCCUGCAGUCAGUGUGGGAGCCUGAUUCCACAAACAGUGAGAUCAUGACCUGAGCCAAAAUCAAGGGUCAGACAUUUAACCGACUAAGCCACCCAGGUGCCUCACAGGAGAGAGAGAAUUCCAAGCAGGCUCCAUGCUCAUUGUGGAGCCCAACACAGGGCUCCAUCUCACCACAGUGAGAUCGUGACUUAACCUGAAAUUAAGAGUCAGACAUUUAACUGACUGAGCUACUCAGGUGGCCUGAUUUUUCAAUUUUAAAGUUAAAAACCAAAACAGUGUAAAUUUUAUUAUAUUUUUGAAAUGAUGAUAUUUCUAUAUAUUGAUCUCAAUGAAAUACAUUUUUAAAUUCAUUUUACCAGUCUCCUUUAACUUUUUUUAGUGUGGCUACUGGAAAAAUUAGAAUUAUGUAUGUGACUCACAUUCUGUUUCUGCUGGACAUCACUGUUCUGUACGUUGUCUGAACUAAAUCUGGAACUUCAAUGUUUCAACAAAAAUAUAUUCAAGCUAUUUGAUAAGAUAAAAGAAUGUUACCAAAAAUUUUGUAUAGAAUUUAACAAUAUUUAAUAUUCUAACCUUUCCUUAUUAAACAAGGUACCUCUAAUAGAAGAAUAUUGGAUACAAUUUGCUAAACUUUCUCACAAAAUGAGAAAGUGAAUGACUCUAAUAACUGAGUAACAAUUUUUUUGGGGGAGUCAGGUAUUUUCUAAUUCUUUCCUACCAAAAUCCAAAGGAAGAACUAAUACAAUUGGUAGCUAUUUGAUCAUUAAGAAUAAUUUUUGAAAAUAGAAAAUUAUGUGAUUUUUGGUAUAUAACUAGGAAGAAGUUCAAAGAAUUGGAUGACGGCAAUAACAAAAUUCCUUCCAUUUAUGUCUACUCAUAUAUGUGGACAAGGUUUCUCAGAGCUGAUUGAUGUUGAAUCUGUCUCAUUCUAGUAAUAACUAAUAUUCAUUCACAGAUACUUAAGCUAAUUGAAAAAAAUUUUAAGUCCCAUUCGUGUCAAUAAGAUAUGCAAUUCUGGGCUGCCUGGGUGGCUCAGUUGGUUGGGCAUCUGAUUUCGGCUCAGGUCAUGAUCUCACACUCCAUGAGUUCAAGCCCUGCAUCAGGCCCUGUGCUGACAGCUCAGAGCCCCUCCCCUCCUCAUGUUCUGUCUCUCUCUCUCUCUCCUUUAAAAGUAAAUAAACAUUAACAAAAAAUUUUUUAAAAAGAUAUGCAAUUCCAAUAAAAUUUUUUUCUUUCUUUUUUUUUUUAAGUUUAUUUAUUUUGAGAGAGAGAAUCACAGGCAGGCUCUACAUUGUCAGCACAGCGCCCCACACGAGACUUGAACUCACGAACCAUGAGAUCAUGACCUGAGCCAAUAUCAAGAGUUGGUCCCUCAACUGACUGAGCUACCCAGGCACCCUAAAUUUUAUUUUUUCUUAAUAAUUAUUUAUCAUAAUUAUAUUAAUGUUAUUUUAAUCAAUUGUAUAAUAGUAAUAAUGGUAACAAUAUCUCAAUCCAGAAGAAAUGUUUUUAACACUCAGGUGGUUUUUUAAAUGAAAUUAUAUGUAUCAGUAUAUAUAGUACAAAAGUAUGAUAUGUGAUCAAUAAAAGACUUCAAGAGGGGUGCCUGGGUGGCUCCGUUGGUUAAGCAUCUGACUUCAGCUCAGGUCAUGAUCUCACAGUUCAUGAGUUUGAGCCCCGCAUCGGGCUCUAUGCUGACAGCUCAGAGCCUGGAGCCUGCUUUGGAUUCUGUGUCUCCCUCCCUCUCUCUCUGCCCCUUCUUCCCUCUCUCUCUCUCUCAAAAAUAAACAAACAUUAAAAACAUUUUUUAAAUAAAUAAAACACUUCAGGAGUUCUGGUACUGGGCCAAGAUAGAGUAAUCCCACUACAGCCUAUCUUUCUCAAUGAUUACAACUAAAAACUCUGGACAAAAUACAUAAAGCAACAUAUCUGCUACUUAAAACAUAGUAGCAGAUAGAUUGAGGAGGGGAACCAAAGCUGAAGAAAAACACAUACAGUUUCCCACAUUUUCCUCUUUUUUCUCUUUGUUUUGACUCAAAGACAGCCACAUAACUAUACAUAACUGUACAGUUGAUACAGGUAUCAAAAACCCCUAGAGAAAUCCUACAUUUCUGGUCAGAAGAGCAGGAAAGGGGUUCCUAUAAGCAAGAGAGUAUGGAGCAAUCCUCCUUGUUGUUGUUUUUUUCUUUUGCCUUACCCCAAGGACAACCCCAGUCACAGAGCUGUAUUGUGGUGGCAGUGGCACAGGCAUUUAAAAUCCCAGUGAGAAAUCUUUCAGUCCAGAGGAACUAAGAUAAAGUGAACCUGUGAUCUGAAAGUGUGUGUGUGUGUGUGUGUGUGUGUGUGUGUGUAGGGAAUCCCCCUUAUGUUUUUCUUUCUUUUCUCUAAUUGCUUUGCCCCAAUGUUGGUCCCAAUCAUGCAGAAUUGUGUGACAGCUAAACCUCCAAGACAAAGCUCAUUUUUCUAGUCAGAGAACUAAAGAAGGGGACUGUGAUAGCUGGAGAGUGUGGGGAAAAUCUGAAUAUGGGAGAGGUGGAGAAGAGACUCCCUUAUUUCUGAUUAAUAAAAGUGAUAAACCUCUGGCAAUACUGACAAGAAAAAUGAGAGAAGACACAAAUUAUCAUUAACAGGAAUGAAAGAGGGGAAACAUUACUACAGACUCUACAGACAUCCAAAAGAUAAUGACAAUACUGCAAGCAAGUCCCAUAAAUCAAAUUACCAAGAGAAAUAGACCAAUUCUUUGAAGGACACAAAGAACCAAAACUCACAUAAGAAGAAAUAGAUAACCUGCAUAAUUCUAUAUUUAUUAAAGACAUUGAAUUUGUAAAAAUCCUCCAACAAGGAAAAUUUCAGUCUAACAAACAUUUAAGGAAGAAGUAAUACCAGUAAAUAGAAGGGAAUACUUUCCAACUUAUAUUAGGAAUCCUGUAUUACUCUGAUUUCCCAAACCAGAGAAAGAGUACAAGAAAUUAAAGCAACAGAUCAGUAUCAUUAAUGAACAUAGAUGAAACAAUCUUCCACAAAACAUUAGCAAAUGGAAUCUAGUAGGAGUUAUCCUGGGAAUGCAAGGCUGGCUCAACACUCAAAAAUCAACCAAUGUAACUCAUCAUUUCAACAGACUAAGGAAGAAAAGGUAUAUGAUCAUCUCAAUAGGUGCAGAAAAAUCAUUUAACAAUUCAACAUUUAUUUAUGAUUUUAAAAAAACUCUCAGCAAACUAUGGAUAAAAGGAACUUUCUCCUGAAAGAGAAUGUCUACAAAACAUUGCAGCUAAUAUACAUAAUAGGAAAGACUGAAUGCUUCUUCCUUAUAUCUGAAGAAGGCAAGGAUGUCUGCUCUUAUUCACAUUAAACAUUUUAUUGGAAAUUAUAACCAGUGCAAUAAAGCAAGAAUAAGAAAAGACAUAUAGAUUUGAAAAGAAAGAAUAAAACUAUCUCUAUUCUCAGACAAUAUGAUUGUCUAUGUAGACAUCAAGGAAUCUACAAAAAAGCUCCUAGAACUAAUAAGUAAGUUUAGUAAAGUCACAGAUUAUUAGGUUAAUAUUAAAAAUCAAGUGUAUUUUUAUAUUCUAGGAAUGAACAAUUAGAAUUUAAAAUUUUUAAAACUACUGGAGCACCUGGGUGGCUCAAUUGGUUAAGCGUCCAACUUUGGCUCAGGUCAUGAUCUCAUGAGUUUGAGCCCCGCAUCGGGCUCUGUGCUAACAGCUCAGAGCCCAGAGCCUGCUUCAGAUUCUGUGUCUCCCUCUUUCUCUCUCUCUCUACCCCUCCUCCACUCCAGCUGUCUCUCUCUGUCUCAAAAAAUAAACAUUAAAAAAAAUAAAAAAAUUUAAAGUACGAUUCAAAACAAUAAAUAAAAAUUAAAAAAUAAAAAAGUAACCACUUAUAAUAGUACCCCAAAAAUAUAAUCUCUAGGUAUAAGUCUAACAAAAUAUGUGCAGGAUCUAUAUACUGAAAGCUACAAAACACUGAUGGAAGAAAUUAAAGUCUAAAUAAGUAGGGAGAUAUGCUAUGUGAGAAUAUUAGAACAUUUAGUAUUGUUAUGAUAUUGAUUCUCUCCAAAUUGAACUAUGGAUUCAAUGUGAUCACAGUCAAAAUUUCAGCCUGGUUUUUUAGAUAUAUAUGGGCAAGCUUAAUAUAAAAUUUUAUAUGAACAGGCAAAGGAAUUAGAAUAACCCAAGCAAUUUUGUAGAAGAGCAAAGUUGGAGGGCUGCUACUACCAGAUUUUUUAUAAAAUGUUUAUUUUGAGAAAGAGAGUGCCUGCUCAUGUGUGAGGGGUGGAGGGGCAGAGGGUGAGGGAGAUAGAGAAUUCCAAGCAGGCUCCAUGCUCAGCACAAAGCCUGAUGCAGAGCUGGAUCUCACAACUGUGAGAUCAUGACUGUGAGAUCAUGACCUGAGCCAAUAUCAGGAGUCAGACACUUAACCAACUAAGCCACCCAAGCACCCCUGCUACUAUCAGAUUUUAAGAUUUAGUAUAAAGUUAUACAAUCAAGAUAGCAUACUAUUAGUGAAAGACAUAUGCAUCCAUGGAACGGGAUCGAGAUCUGAAAGAGACCCACACAAAACCCACAACUGAUUUUUGACAAAUGUGCAGAGUCAACUCAACAGAGAAAGACAGUAUUUUCUAGCAGUAGUGAUGGAACAACUAGAUAUCCAUAGGCAAACAAUAAGAAAACAAAAACAAAAGGCACUUUGACCGAUACUUCACAUACUUUAUACAAAAACUAGCCCAAAAGAAGUGGACAGAAAUGUAAAGUUACAACCAAAAAACUUAUGGAAGAAAAAUAUAAGAAAAUAUUUGUGGCCUUGGGUUAAGCAAAGGGUAGUUAGAUAUAAUACCAACAGCAAAAUUCACAAAAGAAAAAAAUGAUAAAUUGAUCUUCGUUAAUAUUAACCUCUGCUCUGUAAAGAAAGGGAUCUGGUUAAGAGAAUGAAUGACAGGCUGCAGACUGGGAGAAAUAUUUGCAAAUCACAUAUCCAACAAAGGACUUUAAUCCAAAAUAUGUAGGGAAUUUACAAGACACAACAAAACCUUAUGACAAAAGAGCCAAGAAUAUGCAGUAGGUAAAGGAUAGUCUCUUCAGUAAAUGGUGUUGGGCAGGGCACCUGGAUGGCUCAGUCGGUUAAGUGUCUGACUUCAGCUGAGGUCAUGGUCUCAUGGUUCAUGUGUUCGAGCCGAGUUGGGGUCUAUGCUGACAGCUCAGAGCCUGGAGCCUGCUUCAGGUUCUGUGUCUCCCUCUCUCUGCACCUCCCCCGCCUGUGCUCUGUCUCUCUCUCUCUCUCUCUCAAAAAUAAAUACACCUUAAAAAUAAGAAAAUGGUAUUGGAAAACUGGACAUUCACAUUCAAAAGAGUAAAGCUGGACCACUAUCUUUUACCAUAUACAAUUAUCAACUCAAAAUGGAUUAAAGACUUGAACAUAGGGGCGCCUGGGUGGCGCAGUCAGUUAAGCGUCCGACUUCGGCCAGGUCACGAUCUCGCGGUCCGUGAGUUCGAGCCCCGCAUCGGGCUCUGGGCUGAUGGCUCGGAGCCUGGAGCCUGUUUCCGAUUCUGUGUCUCCCUCUCUCUCUGCCCCUCCCCCGUUCAUGCUCUGUCUCUCUCUGUCCCAAAAAUAAAUAAACGUUGAAAAAUUAAAAAAAAAAAAAAAGACUUGAACAUAAAACCUAAAAUCAUAAACUUCCUAGAAGAAAACGUAGGGAGUAAACUCCUAGACAUCAGUCUUAGAGAUGAUUUUUUUGAAUUUGACACCAAAGCAAAAGCAACAGAAGCAAAAAUAAACAAGUGGCACUACAUCAAACUAAAAACUUUCUGAAUAGCAAAGGAAAGCAUCAAUGAGAUGAAAAGGUAACCUACAGAAUAUGAAACACUAUUUGUAAAUCACAUAUUUGAUAAAAGGUUAAUACCCAAAAUAUAUAUUAAAAAAAAACUCAGACAACUCAAAAGAAAACAAACAAUCCAAUUAAAAACUCAGCAGAGGAUCUGAAUAGACAUUUUUCCAAAAAGGACAUACAGAUGGCUAACAGAAAUAUGAAAAGGUGCUCAGCAUCACUAAUCAACAAGGAAAUGCAAAUUAAAACCACAAUGAGAUAUCACCUCACACCUGUUAGAAUGACUGUCCUCGAAAAGAUAAGAGGUGCACCUGAGGGGCUCGGUUGGAUGAGCAUCUGACUCUUGAUUUUGACUCAGAUCAUGAUCUCACGGUUUGUGAAAUCGAGCCUCCCUUUUUGGGCUCCAUGUUGACAGCUCAGAGCCUGCUUGAGAUUCUCUCUGUUCCUCUCUCUUCUCCUCCCCACUCAUGCUCUCUCUCUUUCUGAAAAAAAGCAAGUAAACGCUUAAAAAUUAAAUAAAUAAAUAAAUAAAUAAAUAAAUAAAAAUAAAGAUAAGAGAUAUUAAGUGCUAGGAAGGAUGUGGAGAAAGGGAACCCUUGUGUACAUUGUGGGAAUGCAGCUACAAUGGAAAACAGUAUGGAGGCUCCUCAAGAAAAUAAAAAUAGAAUAACCAAAUAAUCCAGUAAUUUCACUCUGGGAAUUUAUGCAAAGAAAAUGAAAUCACUAUCUUGAAAGAUAUCUGCACCCGCCAUAUUCACUGCAGCAUUAUUUAUAGUAGCCAAAACAUGGAAACAACCUAAGUGUCCAUCGAUGGAUGAAUGGAUAAAGAAAAUGUGAAAUAUGACAUAUGUGAAAUAUUGUUCAGCCAUAAAAAAGAGGGAAAUCCUGCCACUUGCAACAACAUGGAUGAACCUUGCGGGCAUUAUACUAGGUGAAAUAAGUCAGACAGAAAAAAGAUUAAUAUUGUAUGAUUUCAGAGGCACCUGGGUGGCUCAGUUGUUAAGCAUCUGACUUCGGCUCAGGUCAUGAUCUCAUGGUUCAUGGGUUCGAGCCCCUCAUUGGGCUCUGUGCUGACAGGUCAGAGCCUGGACUAUGCUUUGAAUUCUGUGUAUCUCUCUCUCUCUCUCUCUCUGCCCCUCCCCCACUCAUGUGGGCCCACCUGCGCACAUGCGUGCACUCUCUCUCAAAAAUAAAUAUUUUUAAAAAUAUUGUAUGGUUUCAUUUACAUGUGGAAUCUAAAAACAAAAAAAACCCAAAUGCAUAAAAACAUUUUGAUGGUUGCCACAGGCAGGGGGUGGGUGAAAUGGAUGAAGAUGAUCAAAAGACACAAACUUCCAGUAUGAAUCCUAGGGAUGUAAUGUACAGUAUGGUGACUUUAGUUAAUGUAACUGUAUUAUAUAUUAAAAAAUUGCUAAGAAAGUAAGGCUAAAUACAUAUGUGCAAAAUUUUGUAGCUAUGUGUGGUGGUGAAUUAACUAAAUUCUGGUAAUCAUUUUGCAAUAUAUUUAUCUAUCAAAUCAUUAUGUUGUACAACUAAAACUAAUACAAUGUUAUAUGUAAAUUAUAGUUCAGUAGAAAAAAAAGAGGAAAAAAAGAAAACAAACAAUGCAAUACAAAGUACAAGAUUGUGGGGUGCCUGGGUGGCUCAGUUGGUUAGGCGUCCGACUUCGGCUCAGGUCAUGAUCUCAUGGUUUGUGGGUUCGAGCCCCGCAUCUCGCUCUGUGCUGACAGCUCAGAGCCCAGAGCCUGUUUCAGAUUCUGUGUCUGCCUCUCUCUUUGCCCCUCCCCCACUCAUGCUCUGGCUCCCUCUGUCUCAAAAAUAAAUCGACAUUAAAAAAUUAAAAAAAAACCAAAGUACAAGAUUGAUAAAUUAGUCUGCAUUAAAACUAAUGCUUCUGUUCAUCAAAAGACACCAUUAAAGAGGUGGAUGCAUUUGGUGAAAAGCUAAUAGGAAACUUUAUAAAGUUAUAAUGAAUGGAUCCAGCUGACGAACUGGCCAUGUAGCUAGAUUUCAUUAAAUGCUUGUCAUGGUCUUCUGUUUGCCCUCAACUCCAUUCUGUCACCUUGAAUGAUAAAAUUUCCCAGGAUUCCUUGUGUGUAGCCACUUGACUGUUUCCAGACAGUUGAAUGGGAGAAGUAGUAGCAUCAUUUCCAGGACUGGCCCAUAAAACCUUUCAACAGAUGUUACUUAAUUUCCUUUGCCUGUCCAAUGGCAAAGCUACAAGAUAAAAGGGACAAGGGUCUCUUGGUCACUUUUUAAUGGAAAGCUGACCCCAGAAGCCAUCAGAUGAAAAACACCCAUGUAGGAUUGUUGUGUGAAUGAGAAGUAAACUUUUGCUGUAUUUAGCCAUUGAAAUCUCUGGAUGAUUAUUACAGCAGCUAGUCUACCCUACCACAACUCUGACAGUGGCUUUUUUACUGUGUUCUUUGGGGACCCUAAAUCUUCUUAAUGAUGCCUUGAGGGAUGUGGUAGAAACUUAGGGAGCCUACUUCAAUCAGAACAGCCCUCCUUUUAUAUAUUUAAGACAUAAUGUAUGACAUAUGAACACACACAUAUGAUACAUAAUGAUGCACAUGGUGAAGACUUCAAAAGGCACAAAGGGUUCUACAGUAAAAAAAAAAGUCUUUAUUUUUGAGGGAGAGAAAAAGAGAGAGAAAGAGAGAGAAGCAGGGGAGAGGAGCAGAGGGAGAGGGAGCGAAUCUCAAGCAGGCUCCACACUCAGUGCAGAGCUGGACAUGGGGCUCAAUCCCAUGACCGUGAGGUCAUGACCUGAGCCAAAAUCAAGAGUUGGGCACUUAACUGACUGAACCACCCAGGCACAUGCCCCACUACGCCCCCCACCUUGCCCGCCCCUGCCUCACCUGCAAAAUCUUUCACCUUUGUCUUCCAGUCUCCCAUUUGCAUGCCCUAGGAACAAGUUCUGUUACCCAUUUCCUGAGUUUAAGUGACGAUUCAUAUACAUAUAAACAAUAUGUACUGGUUGUAUGUUUAACCAAUUCCUUCUUUAAAUUUUUUUUUUUUCAAUGUUUUUAUUUAUUUUUGGGACAGAGAGAGACAGAGCAUGAACGGGGGAGGGGCAGAGAGAGAGGGAGACACAGAAUCGGAAGCAGGCUCCAGGCUCCGAGCCAUCAGCCCAGAGCCCGACGCGGGGCUCGAACUCACGGACCGCGAGAUCGUGACCUGGCUGAAGUCGGUCGCUUAACCGACUGCGCCACCCAGGCGCCCCAAACCAAUUCCUUCUUAAUGGCAAAUUAGUGUAUUUCCAAUCUUUUGCUAAUAUAAACCAUGGCACAAUAAAUACUCUUGAAUAAAAGUCAUUUUACACAUAUGCAAGUAUGUGGAUCUAUAAAAAUGGAUUUCUAGUAUUAGAAUUGCCAGAUUAAGAGGUAUAUGCAUUUUACAUUUUGAUUAACAGUGCCAAGUUGCUUUCCGUAGGGUUGUACUAAUUUCCAUUUUUACUAUUACUGUACAACUGGGUCUGGCUCUGCACAUUCUUUUCAAUGCAGCAUAUGAUCAAAUUUUGGUUCCUUACUACCUUGAUAAUGUGAAAAACGGCAUUUCAUUGUAAAUUAGUGAGUGUUUCUCUUUUCAUGAGUGAGGUUUUAUAUCUUUCACAUGUUUAAAAGCCACGUGCGGGGCGCCUGGGUGGCUUAGUCUGUUGAGCUUCCGACUUCGGCUCAGGUCAUGAUCUCACGGUCUGUGACUUCGAGCCCCGCGUCGGGCUCUGUGCUGACAGCUCAGAGCCUGGAGCCUGCUUCAGAUUCUGUGUCCCCUCUCUCUCUGACCCUCCCCCGUUCAUGCUCUGUCUCUCUCUGUCUCAAAAAUAAAUAAAACAUUUAAAAAAAAAUAAUACAUAAAUAAAAGCCACGUGCAUUCCCUUUUCUGUGAACCGAACUCUUCAUUUUCCUUAUUGAUUGGUGUGAGUCCUUUAAAUAUUAAAGGAAAUGGAUCUACAUUAUAUAAUAGGGUUAAGAUCUUUCAAUAGAUAAAUUCAGCUGCUAAAACCAAAGUUUGAAAAUCACCGCCUAUGCUGCUUUUUAACAUAGCCUUGCUAAUAAAAACCUUCCCCUCAUUCCCUUGGGAAUCUUUGUCAGUUGGAGUCCCAUCCAGUAUCACUUGCCCUGUGGUUGAAACUCUAGGACAGACUUUCUCAACUGUGGCACUGCUGAUGUUUUGGCUGGAAAAUUCUUUGUUAGGGGCUGCCCUCUGCAUCGCAGAAUGUUGAGAAGUAUGACUGGCCUCUAUCUGCUGAAUGUCAGUUGUACCUUCCCUACGUCCCCCACUAAAAAAUGUCUUCAGGGGCGCCUGGGUGGCUCAAUUGGUUAGGCGUCUGACUCUUGAUUUCUGCUCAGGUCAUAAUCUCACGGUUCAUGCAUCUGGCUGCAUCUGGCUCUGCACUGGCAGUGAGAAGCCUGCUUGGGUUUCUCUCUCUCCAUUUCUCUCUGCUCCUUCCCAGCUCGUGCACACGUACUCUCUCGCUCUCUCUUUUUCAAAUAAAUAAACAAGAAAAAAAUGUUAAAAAUCCUCUGGAGGGUAGGGGAGCAAAAUUGCCCCAGUUGAGAACCACUGGUCUAGGACUUUAUAUAGCUGGUGGAAGGCAGGCCACAUUAUCAGCCUAUCUAUUUGCUUUAGUUUGGACAUCCCACACAUCUCCCCAAAUGGUGUUUGAUAAUAUAUAGAAUACUAAGUUCUGUAUGGAAGUACAAUACUUGUAUUAUAAACUGAUCAAAAAGACUAAAUAAUAUACAUGAAACCAUAAAAGAAUAGCAUCUGCUAAACUUGUGGUUAUACCUUGGAAAUUUAAAAAGAAGUAGUUUAAGACAGGCAAGUCAGCUACCACUUAAGCCUCACAGGGUUGGAGGGGCUUGAGGAGACCCCCAGAAUCCAGAUUCUAGCCCUCAGACUGUAGUUUCAAAAAAUGGACCCUUUUUUCCUUUAUGUAUACAUAUGUGUAUAUAUGUAUAUGUAUGUAUAUAUGUAUAUAUAUAUAUAUAUAUAUAUAUAUAUACACAUAUAUAUAUUCUCAUUUUAAUAUAUGAAAUUUUAGCAAGAAACAUUUAUUGAUGUGUCCCUAACCCUCGUAUCUAUGCCUACCUCCUCUAUCAGGGAUGUUAAAAUGUUAACAUUUUGACAUUAACUUUCCAUACUUUUCCCAAGUCUGUACAGCCAUAUCUGUAUAGAGGUUUGUAUAUACGUAUUUAGGGGUCUUAUUUUUUAUUUAUUUAUUUUUUUAAGUAGCCUCCAUGCCCAGCACAGAGCCCAAAAUGGAGCUUGAACUCAUGACCCUAAGAUCAAGACUUGAGCUGAGAUCAAGAGUCAGAUGCUUUACUGACUGAGCUACCCUGGCACCCCCUAUAGGGAUUUUAAAAAUAAUAAAAAAGUGGGUAUUUGUUAAAUAAUAGAAAAGGUCAUAGUAUACACAUUUUUGUGCAACUUGCUUUGUCACAGUGCAUCAUGAACAUUUUUUGAGAUCAGUUAUAGAUCAUUUUAAUGGUUGAAUAAUAUGCCAUAGUAAGUGUAUACCAUAAUUUGAUCAACAGGUUUCCUACUGAAGACAUCUGGAUUGUUUCUUUUUUUUUCUUUUCCUGCAACAUCAAUACCAUAAUAAACAUUCUUGCAUUCAUGGCCUUACAUAUUCAUACUUUUAUUUUGUUAAGAUAAAUGGAAUUUUGGAUUGAAAGGUAUGUAUAUAUUUAUAGUUUUAAUAAAUACUCCAGAUUACUUUCCAAGACUAUAAUAGCAAUGUAUGAGAGUAUUAGUUCCCCCAUAUCCUGGUAAGCAAUAGAUGGCAAUAAUAAAAUUUGCUUUGUGUUUGCCUAUGUAAGAAAUGAAAAAUGGGUACCUCAUUGUUUUACUUGCAUAUCUGUGACUACUAAUAAAUUUGAGCAUAUUUUAAAUUUUUAUGUAGUCAAAUAUGCAUUUCAUUUUUUAAUUUAAUUUUUUUAUUUAAUUUAAUUUUUUUGGUGGAGCAUAUGGGGAAAUACAGAUUUUAUAUGGCUCCUGUCCUGGGGUGCCUGGGUGGCUCAGUUGGUGAAGCAUCUGACUUUUGAUUUUGGCUCAGGUCAUGAUCUCACAGUUUGUGAGUUCAAGCC